GCAGAACGCGAAGAACCUUACCCACCUUUGACAUGUACGGAAUCCUUUAGAGAUAGAGGAGUGCUCGAAAGAGAGCCGUAACACAGGUGCUGCAUGGCUGUCGUCAGCUCGUGUCGUGAGAUGUUGGGUUAAGUCCCGCAACGAGCGCAACCCUUGCCAUUAGUUGCUACAUUCAGUUGGGCACUCUAAUGAGACUGCCGGUGACAAACCGGAGGAAGGUGGGGAUGACGUCAAGUCCUCAUGGCCCUUAUAGGUGGGGCUACACACGUCAUACAAUGGCUGGUACAGAGGGUUGCCAACCCGCGAGGGGGAGCCAAUCCCAUAAAACCAGUCGUAGUCCGGAUCGCAGUCUGCAACUCGACUGCGUGAAGUCGGAAUCGCUAGUAAUCGCGGAUCAGAAUGUCGCGGUGAAUACGUUCCCGGGUCUUGUACACACCG
rnacentral:rRNA from 1 species